rnacentral:rRNA from 1 species
UACAGGGGGUGCAACCGUUGCUCGGAAUCAUUGGGCGUAAAGCGCACGUAGGCGGUUCGUUAUGUCGGAUGUGAAAGCCCAGGGCUUAACCCUGGAAUUGCCUUUAAGACUGCAUCGCUAGAAUCGUGGAGAGGUGAGUGGAAUUCCGAGUGUAGAGGUGAAAUUCGUAGAUAUUCGGAAGAACACCAGUGGCGAAGGCGACUCACUGGACACGUAUUGACGCUGAGGUGCGAAAGCGUGGGGAGCAAACAGG